CGUAAUGGAAACUGAACGUUGCUCUCUCUCUCCAGCGUCCGAACCGAGCCGAAAAACAGGGCCGACGCUCUCCGGCCAAGUUCUCCUCCAUCCGGCCACCAAUCUUCACCAAAUUUCGUCCAUCAGCUUCGCCUCACUCCUCUGAAGCCGUCUGUGGAAACCUUCCACGGCGGCGCGGCCUCUAGCGGCGGCGGCAAGCUUGUUUCGAUUUGAGUUCGAUUUUAGUCAACGCCGGUUUUCUCCUAGCUCUGGCCACCAAAACUUCCGAUCCUUAGCUCCAUGAACUCGCCUCAACCUGCUGAUAAUCAUCCUAGAAGGAUCGCACCUGGAGUGACCGGUUUCACGUUCGUCGGAGCUCGGCCGGUUUUCGAUCGAACACCAAAACCUUUCGAUCGUGAUAUCUCG
rnacentral:lncRNA from 1 species